AAGCAACACUCAAGGGUAGCUAUCAAAACGGUCCAAUAUCGUCGGAGCUUGCUAUUGCAAGAAAGUCUAACCUAUUCCAGUAUUCUCUCUUCAAUGAGACAAGCCAUUAUAUAGACUUAAACAGU